GGUUGUGGUUCAGUGGUAGAGCACUUGCCUAGAAUGCAUGAGGCACUGGGUUAGAUCUCCAGUACCA
rnacentral:tRNA from 1 species